rnacentral:lncRNA from 1 species
GGCAAACUUUUAAAAUGAAUAAUAAGGUACCAACAACCAUUAACCUAGCUACCUGGCUGAGUGAAGUGGCUCAGAGCAUUUGGCUCUGCAUGGAUUAGUGGAAUGCUGGUAAAUGUUUAACAAAUGGCUUUCAGAAAAAUAAAUUACACAUAAUAUAUCUUUAAGUUUAAUCUGUAUAAUCCAUAUUUUCUCCAUCACUUUAAAACAAGACAGUCAACAAAAUAAUAAACUAAGCCCUUAUUCAUAGUACUACCCAUUUGGUAUAAAUGCUCAAAUUGGAAUUUUCCUAUUGGCUCUCUGGAGCCACAGUCCUAAACACAGCUCCUCCUGUCAGGGAUGACCUUCUAACCAUUGAAUAAUUAAAAAAAAGAACCUUAGCAGAUCUCAGUAGAGCAUUGGCCUUGAAGAAGGUAGGUGGCUGGAGCCCAGAAGCUAGCAGCAGACAGUGCAUUAGUGAUCACAUGUCUAUCAGAGAUGAUGCAAUGAAGAUGAUGGAAGCAGUAGUGAUGACAGGGUGUAUAUACCCAGUGGCCAGCAGAGAGCAGUGAUUAUGUUAGAAGAAAUCCACAACUCCUCAGGGUUGAGGAUGCAGGUUGUUCUGUUUCCUGUGGAUGUCUCUUGGCCACAGGGGGUCCAUAUGUGUAUGGCCUUCUCAGAUGCCUCUUAUCUACCCAUUUUUGCUCUUCAGGAAGAGUCUAUGAAGAUGACUCAUUGUGAUUUCUUAUUUCUGCACUCCAUCCUAGAAGGGAAGGGGAAAAUUGAAGAAAGAAACUGGAAAUGCAAAAAAUUCCUAAAGGAACAAGUUGGAAAACUGCCUGAUGAUUCUCCCUGCGACUUUGGGAGAGCCCAGAUGCAUUCAGCUUUAUGUUCCCUAAAUUUGUGUUAGAGAUGAACCAGCAUGUACAUGUGGACUUGAAAUCCUUCAAAAAGAAGCUGCAUAACCCCCUAUUGGAUAUUGUUGAGGACUCAUAAUUUGUAUGGGGGUCAAGUGAGAUCUCAUGGAUUUGAACCAUGCAAUUCUAUGACUUUAUGAACCCAUAAAGAAACACAAACUAAAAGCCACUCAGUUUUUGAUUAUUUUUAAUAUAUUGGCUUCAAAUUCUUCCCAAAAGGAAUUUCUUAAGGGGGAGGGAAGACACAGAGCUUUUGGAGCUACUAUCAAGACAAAGGAGUUUUAUGAACUGGGAAGUGGCAUAGUCAUUUAUGUAAGCAAAAAUUUUUAUUUUGCCUCACAUUCACUUCUUUAUGGUUUAGAUGAGAAUUUUCCUCCUUGUCAUAACUUAUACUUUAGCAAUAAAUCAUGUUUUUCUCAAAUUGUAUC